UUCAACAGUAGAGUGUAGCACCAAUUACUUGUCUUUCAGUCUUCAAUGGAGAAACUGAGAAAAGCCGUGAAUGAAAUCGCGUAUACUCAACACUAUUCUAAGCUCUCUCAUCUCCAACGCUCUCUAAUCCCCAUCCUCUUCUUCGCCUCGUCUUUCUACUCGGCUGCUCUCUCUCUCCGCCGCGCUCUCUACGAUUCCGGCCUCUUAGCAAAGCACCGGUUGCCGGUGCCGGUGAUCAGUGUUGGUAAUCUGACAUGGGGAGGCAAUGGGAAGACUCCAAUGGUGGAGUUCAUUGCGAAUUAUUUAGCUGAUUCUGGGAUAUCACCUCUCAUUCUUACAAGGGGUUAUGCUGGUGGGGAUGAAGCUAAGAUGCUACAUAGGCAUUUUCUUGGGAGGCCUGUCAAGAUCGGUGUUGGUUCAAAUCGAGCAGCUGUUGCUGCUGGUUAUUUCAAAAGAUAUGGCUAUGUUGAUACUUGCGCUAGUAAACAUUCUGAGAGAUUCUGCCAUUGUGAGAAAGUGGGGAGUCACCUUAGUUCCGAAAAAAUUGGGGCCGUAAUUCUUGAUGAUGGAAUGCAGCACUGGAGCUUGAAGCGAAAUCUGGAGAUUGUUAUGAUUAAUGGAUUAACAUUAUGGGGUAACUGUCACUUAAUCCCACGUGGACCAUUAAGGGAACCUCUCGAUGCACUUAGACAGGCAGAUGUUGUUGUACUCCAUCACGCUGAUUUGGUUUCAGAACAAAAUCUCAAAGAUACUGGCUUAAUGCUGAGAGAAGUUAACAAGUCUGUUCCUGUUUUCUUCACAAAAAUGUAUCCUUGUUAUUUCUUCAACGUGGGAAAUGCCACCUUCAGAAAACCUGUAGGGGAUUUGUUGAACGCUAUUGUAUUAUGUGUUUCUGCCAUUGGUUCUGCGAAAGCAUUUACAAAGGCAAUAGAGAAGAUUGGAGCAUUUUAUGUUGAUCGAAUUGAAUUCAGUGACCACCACAUAUUUCUGACAAAGGAUUUUGAGCUAAUCAAAGGGAGGCUAAGAGAACUGGAUGACAGGUUGUCCAAGCCUGUUGUUAUAGUAACAGAAAAGGAUUAUGAUCGAGACCCAACUAUUUUCAAUCAUUUGGAUCCUUUUGAGGUUCUGGUGCUCUGUUCCAAAUUAAAGAUCAUACCUAACAGAGGAUGCACUGAAGAUAGCUUCAAAAAGUUGUUGAAGGAGGUUUUUGCACAUGAAUAUGUGAACUCAAGUUAAAGGCGUUUAAGUCACAUACCGGCAAAACUAACAAGAAUGCAAAGAAACAUGAUUACUCUCAUGCAAGUCAACCACUCAAUCAGGGACACUUGUGGAAUUAGUAGAAAUGGCACCCGAAGAUGGUCUCAUACUCUAACAGAGAUGGCAAGAUCAUAACUUUUGCCAAAAAGGCUACAUGAAAGUCCCCCUCUAUUUUAUAGAAA